UACGGAGGGUGCAAGCAUUAAUCGGAUUUAUUGGGCGUAAAGGGCGCGUAGGCGGAUAGGAAAGUCAGGUGUGAAAUCCCGGGGCUCAACCCCGGAACUGCAUUUGAAACUCCCUAUCUAGAGGAUUGGCGGAGAAAACGGAAUUCCACAAGUAGCGGUGGAAUGCGUAGAUAUGUGGAAGAACACCAGUGGCGAAGGCGGUUUUCUAGCUUAUUCCUGACGCUGAGGCGCGAAAGCAAGGGGAUCAAACAGG
rnacentral:rRNA from 1 species